rnacentral:tRNA from 1 species
GGUGAUGUGGCUUGGCGGCAGAGCUCUUGCCUUGCAUGCACAAGGCUCUGGGUUUGAUCCCCAGCAACACAC